rnacentral:rRNA from 1 species
GCUUACGGCCAUACCACCCUGAACACGCCCGAUCUCGUCUGAUCUCGGAAGCCAAGCAGGGUAGGGCCUGGUUAGUACUUGGAUGGGAGACCGCCUGGGAAUACCAGGUGCUGUAAGCUU